AUGCUCCGGCUGAACCACCACGGGUUGAGAUCCCGUCGUCCCCCGGCGCGCCGGCGCCCUCGGAGGACGUGCUCCUCCGCCUCCCCCGCGCGCACCUCCACCUCAUCGAUCGCCGGCGCAGCCUCCCGGUCGCCGCCGUCAAGCUCAACCCCUGCCACUACUCCUUCUCCCUCACCAUCCCCGCCUCCCCCGACGCCUCGCCUUCUCCGGCUGCGAGUGCGCGUGCGUGCGUGCGGGUCUCCUGCUGCUGCCCACUAAGACCGGCCGUGGACGAGGAGGGGAGACGGCCACGGCAAGAAGAUAACCAAAUCAGCGUUAGGUGAACAUGUCUGUUCCCUUGUAUUCAUGAAGAUCACGAGAAUCGAAACCCCAUGAAUGGAUAAUCAAGACUGAAUUUUAUAACGAGUCGUAGUUUUUCUAAGAAAGAACAAAGGAUGCAUGCUGUCAAUCACAAAGCUGCAGAAUAGCACGGUCAUAACAUGGAUGCAAUAGUAUAUUUGGUCUGUGGAGAUGCAUAUAGUCUCUGCCUCUUAUCUCGUGGAGGUAGUUAUUCUUACAAGGGUGAGCAGGAAGCAUGGAUCUAUGCGUUGUGAUUCUCCUAUUCUGCAUCUUCCAGUUUAUCCAUGGCCAGCCUAAUGACCUAGCGGUGAUUUGGGAUCUUAGCCAUGUCGACCAACAAGGGCGGAGGUGAAAAUACCAACAAGGGCGGAGGUGGAGGGAAGAAGAAGAAGGAGGUGAAGAAGGAGACGAAACUGGGGAUGGCGUACAAGAAGGAUGAUAACUUUGGGGAGUGGUACUCUGAGAUUCAAGCUCGGUCGAUACCUCAUCUGUUGGAAGGAAGGGAUGUGAUGGGAGCUGCCAAGACUGGCUCAGGGAAGACACUUGCAUUCCUUAUACCGGCAACCGAGCUCCUCUAUAACUUGCAUUUCUCACCGAGGAAUGGCACAUGAGUUAUUGUUGUUUGCCCUACAAGGGAGCUUGCCAUACAGACACACAAUGUUGCCAAGGAAUUGAUGAAGUAUCACUCACAAACCCUCGGAUAUGUAAUUGGUGGCAAUGGCCGGAGAACCGAAGCUGACCAGCUUGCAAAGGGGGUCAAUUUGUUAGUAGCAACACCAGGCAGGCUGUUGGACCAUUUGCAAAACACCAAGUUAGAACUUGAGCUUCUUUAAUCAUAUUUUUCUUGCUACUAUUUGAGACGAUUUUUGGUCCUCAAUUUAGUCCUUUUCUCUAUGUGCUUGGUAUGAACCUGCAAUCACAAGGCAAAGUGUUUGCAUAUUAACACAUGUUGUGAACCCUCCUUCAAUAUGUAUGUGUGUUUUUGUGAAACUAUGUUGGAUAUGUAUGCGUGUGUGGACUUUGAACUCAUCAUCGGUUUGUUAUUGUUGUGAACUUGUAAUAUAUUGGAUAUGUAUGCAUGACCAUUUCAUUUGUGAA